UGUUGCAGAAUAUUAGGAAGUGGACAUGUUCACAUUCUCAAAUAUGAGAUAAAAGUUGGAAUCUAGGGGCUCCUGGGUUGGAAUCUAGGGGCUCAGUUGGUUAAGAGUCUGACUGCCGCUCAGAUCAAGAACUCACUGCUUGGGAGUUCGAGCCCCGUGUCAGGCUCGGCUGGCAGCUCGGAGUCUGGAGCCUGCUAAAGAUUUCUGCGUCUCCCUCUCACUCUGCCCCUGCCCUGCUGGUUCCGUCUCUCUCUCUCUCAAAAAUAAAUAAUCAUUAAAAAAAAUUGGAAUCUAAGUCAUUACUUUCAGCUGAUUUACUUAAGCAAAAGAGUUCACCGGAGUCUGUCCUACUUCAGAGCAUUGAAGCAAUAUAACCUGAGCUCGAAGUUUCAUUUCAGUCAAUUUAAAUUCUUUGUGACCUGUGGAAGACCACUGAGAGUUUAAUCAGUGCUUAGCAAACGCCUACACAUUUUCUAAGGUGCCUUAGUGGAUGUAAAGGUGAAUAAGAUAGUUUUCCCUCAAGGACUUGUAGCAAAGAAGAAGAUAAUGUAUACCAUAUUCUGUUGCUGUGUGUUACUUGUGUCUACUCUUUAAAAAAAGGUUUUUUUAUGUUUAUUUAUUUAUUUUGAGAGAGAGACAGAGUGACUAGGGGAGGGGCAGAGAGAGAGGAGAGAGAGAGAGAGAGAGAGAGAGAGAGAGAGAGAACCCCAGGUGGCCUCCGCACUGCCAGCACAGAACCCAGUGUGGGGUUGAACUCACAAAACCAUGAGAUAAAGACCUGAGCUAAAAUCAAGAGUCAGAUGCUUAAUUGACUGAGCCACCCAGGCACCCCUAUUUGUGUCCACUGUUUAAGGCAUUUCAAACGAAGAUUCUGUGGGGAUCAAAGUAGAGACAGAGAGAGAGACCUCUCAUUCAAUUGUCGUAAAUGAUCGCAGGAUUUAAUGAAGAGGGUCACCUGGAUGGCCCAGUAGAGCAUCUGACUCUUGAUUGCAGUGUUGUGAGUUCAAGCCCCAUGUUGGGUAUGGAGCCUACUUAAAAAAAAAUGUUUUUUAAAUGAAGAGAUGACAUUGAGUUGAAUCUUGAAUAAAAAUGAAGGAUUUUGGUAGGUGGCAGUGGGAAAAGGUACCAUUGCAAACAGUGGGGAGGACUUGAGCACACGGUAGUAGAACACUGUUGGAGCUGCUGUUAGGUUCUUUUGCUGUUAUGGCUCUUCUCAGCCUUAAUAAUAUGCAAUAAUUAUUUUGUCUUUGAUAAGAACUUUUAGAAAUUGAUUAUGUGUUUCUCUUUUACUCUAUAAUAGACUUGAAUUUUACUCGGGCUCUUCAAAAAAAUUUUUUUUUGAUGUUUAUUUAUUUUUGACAGAGAGAGACAGAGCAUGAGCAGGGGAGGGGAGAGAGAGAGGGAGGCACAGAAUCUGAAAGCAGGCUCCAGGCUCUGAGCAGUCAGCACAGAGCCCUACGCGGGGCUCGACCUCACGGACCGCGAGAUCAUGACCUGAGCUGAAGUCAGGUGCUGAACCGACUGAGCCACCCAGGCGCCCCUAGGGCUCUUUAAUAAUGGGGUGCUAGACAAACUAAACAAUGAGUUCAUCUAACGUAAAGCCUAAUACUCCCUCUUUUCUCCUAAGUAUGAUCUUUAGCAGAUUAAGUUGGACUCAGUAGGGAAUGUUUACAGGAGACUUGUAUCCAGUUUGGUUGUAGUGAAGGAUAUGUAUUGGGCAAUAGUAGAAUAUAGAAGUAGGUUGAGGGUAUAUAAAUGGAAGGUAGGAAAGCAGAAAAAUAGUAUUUUUUGAGUUGCCUUCUAUGUUCUCUCUUUGUUCUUUAAGCAGUUAGGUCAUUAUAAAAAGGUAUAUACAGUGUGUAAUAUAUAUAUUAUAUAUAUUAUACGUAUAUAUAAUAUAUACAUUUAAAGUUUAUUUGUUUAUUUUGAGAGAGAUUGAGUGGGGGAGAGGCAGAGAAAGCCGGGGACAGAGCAUCUGAAGCAGGCUCCAUGCUGACAGCAGAGAGCCCGAUGUGGGGCUUGAACUCAUGAACUGCGAGGUCAUGAGCUGAGCCAAAGUUGGACACUUAACCAACUGAACCACCCAGGCACUCUCAAAAAGGUAUAUUUAUUUCAGAUAUACCCCACAUGGUUUAAUAACUUAUAAAAACGUUUGUAGUUAAAACUUUUAUAAAUAAAAUCCUAUUUUAAAUCUACAGAAAAGUUAGCUGAAAGGGAUCUUCGUAAAGGUUUUUGGAAAGAAAAUAAUUCUCUGCUAAUUUAUUGGCAUUGAUACUAGAAUUUGGCCUGCUAAAAAUCUUUAAGGGGUGCAGCAUUACACUUAUUCUUUCAUUAUUUGGGAUUUUCUUUUCUCUUUUUAACUUAAAAUGAGUCAUGGUAUUGUAUUGGGGAUUUUGAAAAAUGUGGAAUGUCUGUAGAAGUAAUUUAAUGCCAUUAUAUACCCUUUAAGUUUUACAAAAAGCAAAGCACUGUUGAGUAGUAUUGGAAUCCAGUAGCCAGAGUUUAGAGGUUUUGAUCUUUGAGCAUGAUCUACUUGUACUGCCUUCUUAAGUUCUAGAUAGACCAUGUGUGAGAAGUUCCAUAUUUUACUUUCUCUUUUUUUGUCAAUAAAAUCUUUAGCAGAUUAAAUUGAACUCUUUCUUCUUAGAGCAAAGAAGGGUGGAGGGGAGACAUUCGUUAGCUCAGAGAGGUAGCUCUUCUUAGCACCUAGGUUCUAUUACGUUUUAUAGGACCCUCUUGGAGCUCUGUUAGGUUAUUAAGUGUUCUUACACAAAGUGUUGGAGAAAAUGCCAUUGAACCAUGGUUCACUGACUUUUGGGACAGACAGACUUGGUGUAGGUUGAUACUGGUUUUUUGAUUUUUGUUUGUUUUUGAUACUGUUUUUCCCCUGUAUAACUGGCUUUGUCUAAAACACUUAAACUGAGGCUUAUAUAAGAUGAAUAGGUGACGCAUGGUAGGUUUUCACUAAGUAGUAGCAGUUCUGCAGUAAUUGUUACCUUUUUUUAAUGUUUUUUUAAUUUUUUUUUUAAUUUUUGAGAGAGGGUAUGAGCAGGGGAGGUGCAGAGAGAGGGAGACAGAGGAUUGGAAGUGGCUCCUUGCUGACAGCAGAGAGCCCAGUGCAGGGGCUCAAACUCACGAACCCAUGAGAUCAUGACUUGAGCCAAAGUCAGAAGCUCAACCAACUGAGCCAUCAAGGCACCCCUGAUUAGUUUUGAUAUGAGCCUUUGGAAACUGAUUAGUGUUUUCUCUUUUGCCCUGUGAUACAGUAGAGCCUUGAACAGCAUGGAUUUGAACUGUGUGGGUCCACUUAGACACAGGGUUUUGUUUUGUUUUGUUUUAUAAAUAUAGUACAGUGCUGUAAAUAUAUUUUCCCUUCCUUAUGAUUUUCUUUAUAACAUUUUAUUUUUUAUAGUUUCCUUUAUUGUAGGGAUGCAGUAUAUAAUACAUAUAUAACAUAAAAUAUGUGUUAAUUGUUUAUGUUAUGGGUAAGGCUUCUAGUCAAAAGUGAGCUAUUAGUAGUUAAGUGUUUGGGAGUCAAAAGUUACACUCAGAUUUUCUACUGUGUGAGGUGGGGAUUGUUGGCAUGCCUGACCUCCAUGUUCUUUAAGGGUCAGUGUAGAUUUGAAUGUUACCAGACUUACUUAUUUACUGAUUUAUUUAGAGAGCAUGUGUGCACCAGUGGGGGAGGGGCAGAAAGAGAGGGAGAGAGAA